GACGUAAUAUUUCCCUGGGCCACAGAAGUUGCUGGGAAGCUGAGGAUCCCAAGGCUAGUUUUUCAUGGGACAAGUUAUUUUGCCCUCAGUGUCUUUCAUAGCUCACUGCACUAUGAGCCUCUGAAAAAUAUAACAUCUGAUUAUCAACCCUUUGGAGUGCCUGGCCUUCCAGACAAGAUAAAGAUGACAAGACUGCAAUAACCAGAUGAACUUGGAGAAUCAAGUGUCAAUGAUGAAAUAAAAAAGCUGAUGUAUCAAGCCGCAGAAUCUGAGAUUACAAGCUAUGGAGUUAUCAUGAACAGUUUCCAAGAGCUGGAACCAGCUUAUGUCGAACACUACAGGAAGGUCAUGAGAAGGAAGACAUGGCACAUAGGCCCCCUUUCUCCCUGCAACCGGAACACACACAAUAAAGCACAACAAGGAAAUGCAGCCUCUAAGGACACAGUUGAAUGCUUAAGAUGGCUAGACUCAAAGAAACACAAUUCAGUUCUCUAUAUAUGUUUUGGAAGCAUGUCCUGGUUUUCAGCUGCUCAGCUUUAUGAGAUUGCUAAGGGACUUGAAACUUCUGGACAGGAUUUCAUUUGGAUUGUAAGGAAGGUGAAAAACAAAGGCAAAGAGGAGUGGUUGCCAGAAGGAUUUGAAGAACAGAUGGAAGGGAUGAUUUUGAUUAUAAGGGGAUGAACACCUCAAGCGCUGAUUCUUGAUCAUGAAGCUGUAGGAGGGUUUGUGACUCACUGUGGAGGGAAUUCGACACUGGAGAGUAUCACUGCUGGAGUACCAAUGGUCACAUGGCCACUCAGUAAUGAGCAGUUCUAUAAUGAAAGGCUUGUUACAGAUAUACUAAGAAUAGGGGUUGGAGUUGGAGCCCAAGAAUGGUCUAGAUUGAUGGAAGAUAAGAAAGUACUUAGUGACAAAUGAAAAUAUAAAAAAGGCAGUGACUCAGCUGAUGGUUGGUGAAGAAGCCAAUGAAAUAAGAAACAGAGCUAGUGCACUGAAAGAGAUGGCAAAGAGGGCUGUUGAAGAGGGUGGAUCAUCUCACUCUGAUUUGAGGGCUUUAUUAGAUGAAUUGAGAUUGAAGAGACCUCAAGGAGAGCAAUGAGAGAUCUAUUAAAGGACUAAAGACAACAAUAAGUUCAUGCAUAAAGCUGUAGAUCUUGUAUCAAAAUAAAUAUUGAUAAAAAGUUCUGUAAACCUUGUUGUCUUCUCUCUUUCUUUUUAGUUUUCCUCUCUUUGUUUUUCCUUGCUGAGCAAAGUUAAGAAACUUUUAAUAUUUUGUUGUUCCAAGAGAUUCCCUUCCUGUAAGACUAUCCCCUCUUAGUUUUGGUUCUGACUUAAAAUAACGAAUGUACAAGAGAAUAGACAAUUGAAUCGCCAAAAAACCAAAACCAAGGAAAUAUAUUUUAACAAUACAAGACU
rnacentral:lncRNA from 1 species